CUUUGGUGAAGUAGACAGCAUGUUAGUCUCAGAAGCUGAAGGUCCUGAGUUUGAUCCUCAGAAG
rnacentral:tRNA from 1 species